AUUAAGUACAGUCGUAAGUUUCCGCGUCCAACUUUAAUGAUCUGUCUUAUUUAAAAAAAAAUUUAUAUUUAGUAUUUUUGUUGCUAUGAGAUGAUAAAAUAUGAAUAGUACUUUAUUUGUGACUUAUAAUUUUAAUUAUUUUUAAAAGUUUUUCAAAUAAGAUGAACAGUCAAAGUUGGACGCUGAAAACCAUGGCUGCACUUAGA
rfam:Oryza rufipogon genomic scaffold, chr05